CUAAGCCAUUCAUGAGAAACCCACCCCCAUGGUCUAUACCUUCCACCAGGCCCCACCUCCAACACUGGGGAUUACAGUUUGGCAUGAGAUUUGGGUGGGGACACAGAUCCAAACCAUAUCACUGACUGGCAUGUGCCAAACACACCAGAUGGCAGGGCGGGCUGUGCUCCAGCAUGGGACCCUCCAGCUGCCGAUCCCCCCCAACCAUGGCCUCUUAAGCCCCAGGCCCAGUGGCCCCCUUGGUCUUGGCCCCCCCAGCCCCGGUCAGGGAUGAGGUCUGCUGGCUCUGGCCAAACUUCCUCCUUCACAUGCACCGGGAGGAGGCCCAAGCUGUCGGCGGAGACGCCUGGGGGCCAGGACAUCGUGUCGUUGUGCACCUUCUGUUUUUCCAGUUCGGCUUUAGGAAGAGGAAGCUCCAUCAGCACGUCCCCAGGAAGCUGGUUUGUUGGGAAAGGGGUGAGAGCAGCACUCCAGGAGGUGGCCAAUGAACCUACUAUGCGGGAUUUCGGCUGGACUUUUCCUGACCAAGCCAGGGGCUUAAUGUUACCAAGCAGGUUGCAGGCAGGAGGCUGUCACCUGCUUGACAGAAAUCCUUGGGGCAAAUGCCAUCUCCAUGUGGAGGCAGCAAUGAAAGCAUGAAGGAUCUGAGCUGACGUUACAGUGAGAGUGUCCCCCCUUCCUGGCACUCAGGCAAGGAUGCUCCCCAGAUGAUGGACACGGGGACCCUCCCCAGAUGACAGACACGGGGACCCUCCCCAGAUGACGGACACGGGGACCCUCCCCAGAUGACGGACACGGGGACCCUCCCCAGAUGACGGACACGGGGACCCUGCCAGAUGACGGACACAUGGACCCUCCCCAGAUGACGGACACAUGGACCCUCCCCAGAUGACAGACACAUGGACCCUCCCAGAUGACGGACACAUGAACCCUCCCCACAUGGACAGGAAGAUUCCAGCAAUGUUAGAGAUGAUAGAAUUCAUAGACAAGGAUAUGAAAGCUGCUGCUACAACUUACUCCAAGAAGCUAUUCCAGGUGUGGUUGUGUGUGCCUAUAGUCCCAGCUACUCAAGAUGCCAAGGCCAGCCUGGGCAACAAAGCGAGAUCUCAUCUCUAAACAAAAACAGAAAUAAACUAGAAAAGUGGAAGCUAGAGGAAAUAUCGAAUGUGUUAG
rnacentral:lncRNA from 1 species